rnacentral:tRNA from 1 species
GGCGUGGUAGCUCAGUUGGUUAGAGCGUCGGAUUCCUAUCCCGAUGGCAAUCGAGGCCUCGACU